CUGUCCUGGCCGGUGCUUUUCUGCUCCCCUGCACUCGGUUUUGCAGGGUAGCCUGGCAGGACACACAGCAUCCCCCUCUCAGUUUAGGAGAGCCGUCCUAAGAAUGGGGCUGGCUCUUAAAGGCACGAGAGGACAGU
rnacentral:snoRNA from 12 species